AGAGUUUGAUCCUGGCUCAGGAUGAACGCUGGCGGCGUGCCUAACACAUGCAAGUCGAACGAUGAAACCGCCCUCGGGCGGACAUGAAGUGGCGAACGGGUGAGUAACACGUGACCGACCUGCCCCCCGCCCAGGGACAGCCCCCCGAAAGGGGGAUUAAUACCUGGUACUCCGGAAGCGGCGCAUGCCGCCCCCGGGAAAGCUCUGGCGGCGGGGGAUGGGGUCGCGGCCCAUCAGGUAGACGGCGGGGCAGAGGCCCACCGUGCCGACGACGGGUAGCCGGGUUGAGAGACCGACCGGCCACAUUGGGACUGAGAUACGGCCCAGACUCCUACGGGAGGCAGCAGUGGGGAAUUUUGCGCAAUGGGGGCAACCCUGACGCAGCAACGCCGCGUGCGGGACGAAGGCGUCCGCGUCGUAAACCGCUUUCAGCGGGGAACACUUAAACGAGGGUACCCGCAGAAGAAGCCCCGGCUAAAUACGUGCCAGCAGCCGCGGUAAUACGUAUGGGGCGAGCGUUAUCCGGAUUCAUUGGGCGUAAAGCGCGCGUAGGCGGAGCGCUAAGCGGGACCUCUAACCCGAGGGCUCAACCCCCGGCCGGGUCCCGAACUGGCGCUCUCGAGUGCGGUAGGGGAGAGCGGAAUUCCCGGUGUAGCGGUGGAAUGCGCAGAUAUCGGGAAGAACACCGACGGCGAAGGCAGCUCUCUGGGCCGAAACUGACGCUGAGGCGCGAAAGCUGGGGGAGCGAACAGGAUUAGAUACCCUGGUAGUCCCAGCCGUAAACGAUGGGCGCUAGGUGUGGGGGAUGAGAUCCCCCGUGCCGCAGCCAACGCAUUAAGCGCCCCGCCUGGGGAGUACGGCCGCAAGGCUAAAACUCAAAGGAAUUGACGGGGGCCCGCACAAGCAGCGGAGCAUGUGGCUUAAUUCGAAGCAACGCGAAGAACCUUACCAGGGCUUGACAUGCAGGUGAAGCGGCGGAGACGCCGUGGCCGAGAGGAGCCUGCACAGGUGGUGCAUGGCUGUCGUCAGCUCGUGUCGUGAGAUGUUGGGUUAAGUCCCGCAACGAGCGCAACCCUUGUGAUUAGUUGCUACGCAAGAGCACUCUAAUCAGACUGCCGUUGACAAAACGGAGGAAGGUGGGGACGACGUCAAAUCAUCAUGCCCUUUAUGACCUGGGCUACACACGUACUACAAUGGUCGUUAACAGAGGGAAGCAAUACCGCGAGGUGGAGCAAAACCCUAAAAACGGUCUCAGUUCAGAUUGUAGGCUGCAACUCGCCUACAUGAAGUUGGAGUUGCUAGUAAUCGCGGAUCAGCAUGCCGCGGUGAAUACGAAACCGGGCCUUGCACA
rnacentral:rRNA from 1 species